AUUGAACGCUGGCGGCAUGCCUUACACAUGCAAGUCGAACGGCAGCAUGAUCUAGCUUGCUAGAUUGAUGGCGAGUGGCGAACGGGUGAGUAAUACAUCGGAACGUGCCCUGUAGUGGGGGAUAACUAGUCGAAAGAUUAGCUAAUACCGCAUACGACCUGAGGGUGAAAGUGGGGGACCGCAAGGCCUCAUGCUAUAGGAGCGGCCGAUGUCUGAUUAGCUAGUUGGUGAGGUAAAGGCUCACCAAGGCGACGAUCAGUAGCUGGUCUGAGAGGACGAUCAGCCACACUGGGACUGAGACACGGCCCAGACUCCUACGGGAGGCAGCAGUGGGGAAUUUUGGACAAUGGGCGAAAGCCUGAUCCAGCAAUGCCGCGUGUGAAGAAGGCCUUCGGGUUGUAAAGCACUUUUGUCCGGAAAGAAAUGGCUCUGGUUAAUACCUGGGGUCGAUGACGGUACCGGAAGAAUAAGGACCGGCUAACUACGUG
rnacentral:rRNA from 1 species